CUUGGUCUGCGGUAUAGGUUCUAAACAGGUCAUACUCUCCUGCACAAUCUAAUCUCUUCAGAGAGAUAGAGCUCCCUGCAUUUACUCAGUGAGCGAGAGGGAAGUCUGCUCCUCCUCUGUGUCUUUGAUCUCUCACUUCUCCGGGUGAGGAAAACUGUUUUGUUAGCAGCAGUCAGACGGCCUCCUCCAUCCCGGCGACAGAGACAACUGAUCCUCCUUGAAUACAUCACGCACAACACUGACAAUCUCAAGAGUUUAGACCUUUCCAUCGCCUUGUCAGUGAGGGAAGCCAAGUGCAGCGAGUGGAAACCGGAUCGAAGGAGGAGAGAGCAUGAAAGGUCCUGUCGACUUGUGCGUGGCCUUGCCGGACACCCGCAUAAAGAGUCCUUCACUUUCUCACACAGCGGAGACGAGGCCAGGGUUGGACACUGGAAGAGCAUUUGAGGCAGCCAGUGGAAAUCCAGUUGGAGGAUAUAUCGACUUUGAUGCAGCAGCUGUCUGUGAUCCAAGGCAUCCUCAUCUGGUUACCUGAGGCUGUUUUUCUGGAGAUGGGAUCUACCAGAUGGAGAGAGGGAUGACAUGAAGAAACGAGAGAUUUCGGAUGGAGGGCUGCGGAGGACUGGCAGCACUGCGUUACGUAACGUUGAUAAUAUUUUCAAAUAGUCUUUGUUCUUCAUCAAUAUUUUUUAAAGGAAUUCAUUUUAUGAAUGUCAUUUGUCAACUGUUGCUUAUUGUAAAGGUACCCACAACAGUACACUGAUCAAUCAUUUAGCUUGUCUUUAAGUUACACUUUAACCAUUUAUAAACUUAAGAAUUAAUAGAUUUUUGGUUCAUGAAUAUUAUUCCACUUCUUAAGCAAAAUAAAUCAUUUAAAACUCUUUGCAAUAUCUUUAAAUACAUUGUCAUAAAGCUGUGAAAUUCUCUUGAAAA